rnacentral:rRNA from 1 species
AGUGGCGGACGGGUGAGUAACACGUAAGAAUUUACCUUUAGGAGGGGGACAACAAUUGGAAACGAUUGCUAAUACCCCAUAUGCUUUCGAGUGAAACGGAUUUAUCCGCCUAUUGAGAAGCUUGCGGCUGAUUAGCUUGUUGGUAAGGUAAUGGCUUACCAAGGCGACGAUCAGUAUCUGGUUUGAGAGGAUGAUCAGACACACUGGAACUGAGACACGGUCCAGACUCCUACGGGAGGCAGCAGUGGGGAAUAUUGCACAAUGGGCGCAAGCCUGAUGCAGCCAUGCCGCGUGAAUGAUGAAGGCCUUAGGGUUGUAAAAUUCUUUCGCCAAGGAUGAUAAUGACAGUACUUGGUAAAGAAGCCCCGGCUAACUUCGUGCCAGCAGCCGCGGUAAUACGAAGGGGGC